CUUGUAAUUUGGACUUGGAAAUAACGUUGGUAAUAUAUUAAUUUUCUGUUGUUAGAAUAUUAUUGUUUUAUAUUGUGCCUAACGCUCAUCGCGACAGCCAUGAUGCGUACAUUUACGUACGAUGCGUGAGUGCGUAUACACGCGUGUGGAUCGAGCAGUGCGGAGUGCUCUUUAUUUACAGUAUAUUUAUAUAUAAGUAACUAUUAUAUUCUAAAAGUUGUAUAUUAAUAAUAAGAACUCAAUUAACCAUAUGUGCUAUGAAUAGUAGCUGAUAUGAUGAUCUAUAACCUAUAAUUUAGGUUAACUACAAAUAACGUUCUUUGGGUAUCGGUAGAAACUAUAUAAUGGAAUUAUUUGCUAUUUUCUUGCAAUUUACUGCCGAUUAUUUUCAGCUGUUUGAGUGCGUCGAGAUCAUGAGCAAACGCACGCUUGUCGCGACAGCCAAUCGGAAGCAGUAAUAGUUCUGGAGACUGUAGUCGCAUUAUCUUACAUAUACGUAUGAUGCGUGAGUGUGUCAUAUAUACGUACGUUUGUGCUUGUGCUGUCGAGCGCUUUUAAUUGUAUACAACAUUUUUAUAUGGGUAGCUGGUGAUUCAAGAUCUAUUUUUCAACCUAUAAGAGAGAGAUUUGCAGAAGAAAAGAAAUAUACCAAAGUAUUAAUAAGGAUCGAACAUAUUCUUGAUGUACUCGGGCCGCGAGGCUGAGCAAUAUUCUAAGGAAAGUAUUGUACAAGAUACAAAGAUUGGACAAUAUCUCAUCUCUUUAUCUUCCAUUGACAUUUUGAAGAUAUGCUAAAAACUGAUCAAGAAGCUUUCAUGCAAGUUGUGAACAAGGUUAUGUUAAUUGGAAGGAAACAUGAAAAGAAUUUUAUUAGAAGAAGUUUGAGGGCUACAUUUUCUGAUGACUUAGCCUCCAUGUAUUUAUGGACUGGCCAAAAAAAUAAUUAUAAAAUUGGAGAUACGCACACACAAUUCUGAGCAUUAAAAAAGCUUUUAGAGCAAUAUUCCCUCGAAAUACAGAAAAAGAUUUUGAACACUUUGUAAUGGAGUGGUUCAGAUUCGCAAACGUCCGUAAGGAAAAAAAAACAUUACAAAGGAAGUGAUAAAUAUAUUAUCUUACUUGCGUGGCUCCGCGCGAGUGAUUAUUUAUAGUAACAAAUUUUUUUAUUUGAAAGAUGAGUUUUAUCCCAAAACCUUCCGCUAGGAUCAGUGAUCUUCACCAAAGAUAUUAUUGUGAUAAACUGAAAACUGUAAUAUAUAUAUGGUAUAUAUUAUUUUUAUAUAAAUAAAACUUUUUUAUGAUAAUUAGUGAAUUAUUCCCUAAUGCAGAUUGGUAUAUAACAGGCCUGGGCAACUUCGAGCUCCGGAGCCACGACACUCCCCUACUUUCCGUGGAUAGAAAAGAAGUGUCGUGGUUCUGGAGCUCAAAGUUGUCCAAGUCUGGUCUAUAAAAAAGCAAUCUAAAUAAUAAUUAGACAAUAAAUAUUGAAAUAUUUUAUUACUAUUGCAUAUUUAUUGAAAACAUGUUGCCUGUAAUAGAACUAAAACAUCAAUAAGAACUUUAAAUAAAUGUUAGAAUUAAUAUUACGGUAAUCUUAAUAUAAUAUUGUAAUAAAGUUGAUAGUACGUUU